UUUAUACUAAACAUGAAACAAUGAACACCUGGGGAGACAGGUAACGAGGGGCGGAGCUACAAAUUAGACACACGUGAUGGAAAAGGACAAGAGAAACACUAGGAAACGGGGAAAACACAGGAAAACAUAGCGAGGGCGUAACAGUAUGUUAUUAACAUAAAGACAGAGCUGUGGAGUGCUGAUUACUAGGAAUACUAUCAAAUGUGUGGUUAGUUUAUUAGAACAGAGACAAGUUCUCUAAUUUAUACAGACUCUGUGUAAUCAGUAAACACAGCGCUGUGGAGUUCAGAAUAUAAACAAUAAAUACAUAUUAAAGUUAGCUGAGCUAAAGUUACUGUGGCUGGAAACAGUAUGCUUCACUUUUUCAUCUACAAGUGCAUUUGGACAGUGAGACAAAAAUAUAUUUUCAGACACUGUGUGUGGUGGAACAGGGAGGUGAGUAUCUCCUGUUUGAUGGAUAAAAUAUCAAUUUACUACUAUCUUAGGGUUCAUAAAUACACAGCCAUGAACUUACUGUGUUAUGUAAUUUCGUCUUAGAGAUGUCACUUAAUUAGAGCUGAGUAGUGCAAAACACAAAGAAACAUUUUUAAUACUUUUGUUGGCACAAUUAUUCCACAGGUCUUAAAGUAUGCAGUGUGUUUAUCCAACACUGGCAGAUCUGGCAAUAUCUCUGCUGUUCAGAAGCUAAGAUGCACAACAUAAAGCCAAUGUGUUUGCAAUUUAGAAAUGUAUGUUGUGAAUUAAAAAAUAUAACAUCUAAAAAAGGAAACCAAUUGGUGAUUCAUUAUUAAGUGAAAUGUCUUUUUUUUCUUGUGUAUUUUUAAUUGCUCUUUAAGCAAGCAAAUAUGCUUUUAACCGAUUACUCGAUUAAUCAAAUACGUUUUUGGUUGUAGUACUCGAUUAAAAUGAAUUAAAAGUAAAAUUACACUGGCACAUGUUGGCACAAUUUACAGAGUGUUUGUAGUGCUGUUUUUAUUUUUACCUGUACUUUUUUAUUGUUCUGUUUAGAUGUAACAUAGAGAGUGAGUGGUGGAGGUGGGGCUAACAGUAGGAUGUGUGUUUGCUUAGUGGGGGUGAGGUGGUGCAUGGUUUCGUAAGUGUUGAAUUUUUUAUGCUGUUCUAAUGGAGGAGCUGUGUGUGUGUGUGUGUUAAGUGAUAGGUUUGCCCAGAAUGGCCUUUCUUUGCUCAGGUACAAAACUGCACCCAUGUCUUCUAAUUAAGCAGCAUCGUGUUUGUGUGUGUGUGUGUGUGUGUGUGUGUGUGUGUGUUUGUGUGUGUGUGUUGCCUCUCUUAUCUAAUUAUCAGUCUCCUGUUACUCUGCCCUGCCCUGCACAGGACCACUGACCCGCUCAGCCCUCAGCACACUAAGACCAACCAUACUUACACACAGACACACACACACAGACACACACACACACACACACACACACACACACACCACACUCUGUUUAAUCAACAGUCAUCAGUCUGUCCCCAAAAACACAAACACACUUAUAAGGGGACCUUUCACCUUCAGGACUCACACAGUGAUAAUGAUGAGUUAAUAAUGUCAGUGCUGUUCAGAGCUCUCUGAGUCUGUAUUAGACACUGUGUCAAAGGCAGAGGUGGAAAAAGUACUGAAAAAUUGUAAUUAAGUAAAAGUACCUUUACUUUGCUAAAAUUCUACUCAAGUAAAAGUAAAAGUACCCAUCUAAAAAUCUACUUGAGUAAAAGUAAAAAAAGUACUCAAUUUUUUAAAAGUAAAAGUUACAUAGUUACUUUUAAUUAUUUAAUGUAAAAAAGUACAACCAAUCUUAAAUUAAAUCAUUUUUAAUGAACUAUUAUUCCACAUAAUAAUUUGGAUCUUUCAGGCAGUGUUUGUUCAGACCACCCCAUAAAACAUUUUCAAGAAGUGGCAUAGGUUUCUAUGAUCCAUUCUUUUUUCUUUACUGUUAAAAGGUUAUGGUCGUAUAGGUCUUUUUAUAGUUUUAUAGUUUAUUGUUAUUUUUUAACUUGCCAUUGCUAUGCUUUAACUGCUAUUUACAUGUUUUUUUUAACAAUCAAGCAGAUUGUUUAAUGUUUCCAAUAAAAACUUAAGGAAUCAUCAUUAAAAACCAGUUAGACUGCAGUGUCAGCAUAUAAAUCGCGUGCGUUUUCCUACAGGACAAACCAUUCAAACGUGCGGAUGAGCUCUUCACACCGAUUAAAAAAUCACACUGUCUGUCUGGCUUAAAAUAGUUAGAUGCAGCUAUUAAAUUAAUAUAUCAACAUUCAUUUAAAAGAAUCAUCCUGUACGCUUAAUAACAAAAAAGCUAGCAACAAUCUAGCUAAUGAGCUAAUAAGAACAUUUAAUAACAGCAGAAAAAUUGAUAGAAAAAUCUAUAGAAAAAUAAAUAGAAAAUUAACCAACUAAACUAAGCUUAAAAUGCUAAAAGAAAUAUAACAACAAUGAAUUCUAGAAGAUCCAAAUGAAAAAGUGACCACACAGGUACAAGAAUAAUAAAGUAAUAUUACAAAAAAAAGAAACGCAAAUAUCCCAAAGUAAAUAAAAUGCACCUGGGCUACGAAACCAAACAAAGAAAUAUACAUGGGUCAAUGACGUGAUGCCUAUAUUUUGUGUCCAACUACAUUUUUUUUUAAAUAAAAAAAGAUUUAAAAGUAUAAAACGUUGUCAUAGAUAGUCUCUCUCUCAUAUUUGUACUUACUUUUACUUAUUAAAAGUAAUUAGUUCAUCAGAAAGUUUUGGUUAUUUAAAGUGUCAAAAUAUAAUGUGGUGCGACCGUCCCACCAUGACUAUUGUUUUAAAAACUUCUUUGAAAUUACUUUGAAAUUAUAUAUUAACCUAUAUAUUUUAUUUUUUUUACCCUUUUCGGCAUGAUUUUCAAAGUGUUUUUGAGUCCUGUGCAAAAUUGCAAAGCAUUUGUAAUUUUAUUUUCAUCGUAAUAUAUAAGCAAAAUUUGUCAGAUAAUCUCCAUUUUAUAGAAUAUCAUGUGGUGUGACCAUCAAGAAACUACUACUUUGGGACCAUUAUGUUAAAACUAAUUUAAAUACAGGAAGUUGCAUCAUUUACCAGUUUGCCAGGGACCUGUGGAAGCUGCG